rnacentral:rRNA from 1 species
UACGGAGGGGUGCAAGCGUUGCUCGGAAUUAUUGGGCGUAAAGGGUAGGUAGGUGGUCUCAUUUGUCUGGGGUGAAAGCCUUGAGCUUAACUCAAGAAGUGCCCCAGAAACGGUGAGACUCGAGUCUCGGAGAGGGUCGGUGGAAUUGCCCGGUGGUAGCGGUGAAAUGCGUAGAGAUCGGGAGGAACACCAGAGGCGAAGGCGGUUCUCUGGG